AUGUAUCACCAGCAGUGCGAGCUCCUGAUGCCCCAUGAGGGCCUGGACAUGGACGCCGGCCAGUCGCACCACCUUGCCGCCGCCUCAGCCGUCCCGGCAGAGCUCAACUUCCAUCUCCUAUCCUACGUAGACGCCGCUGUCUCGCCGCAGCAGCCCACCGUUGAGUACUUCUUCGGCGGCGCCGACCAGCCCCAUGCGCAGUUCGAGCAGCUGGCCGCCAACCACCAGGCGAUGACCGUGCUGCGGGACUACUACGGCCAGUACCCCGCCACCGCCGACGCGUAUCUACCCGGCGGCGGUCCGAGGACCGGUUCGUCGUCCCUGGUGUUCGGUGCUGCCGAAGAGGAGUCGGCCUACAUGGUAGGCGGCUUCCAAUGCUCCCCCAAGCCGCGGGCGAGCGGCAGCAGGAAGCGGGGCCGGGGCGCCGGCAGCAGCUUCCACGGCUUUCCGGCCAACGGUGGCGUCGAGAAGAAGGAGAAGCAGCGCCGGCAGCGCCUCAGCGAGAAGUUCACCGCUCUCAUGCUUCUCAUCCCCAACCGUACCAAGGAGGAUAGGGCCACGGUGAUCUAUGACGCGAUCGAGUACAUCCAGGAGCUUGGGAGGACGGUGGAGGAGCUGACGCUGCUGGUGGAGAAGAAGAGGGGCCGGCGGGAGCACCAGGGGGACGUGGUGGAUCCGGCGCCCCUGGUGGUGGCCGGAGAAGGGGAGUGCUCUGCAGGCGAGCUGGCGGCCGCGGUGAUGCCAGCGAUGCCACCGCCGCCGCAGCCGAUACGGAGCACGUACAUCCAGCGGAGGAGCAAGGAGACGUUCGUGGACGUGCGGAUCGUGGAAGACGAGGUGAACAUCAAGCUCACCAAGCGCCGCCGCGACGGGUGCCUCGCCGCCGCGUCCCGGGCUCUGGAUGACCUCCACCUAGACCUCGUCCACCUCUCCGGCGGCAAGAUCGGCGACUGCCACAUCUACAUGUUCAACACUAAGAUUCAUCCUGGGUCUCCAGUUUUUGCAAGCGCAGUGGCCAGCAAGCUGAUCGAAGUGGUGGAUGAGUACUAG
rnacentral:rRNA from 1 species